GGCUCGCUGCUUGGCUUAGGGUUAGCAGCACCCUGACCGGAGCGGAAGAGCUGCCCGCCGCCGCGUAACCCCGAGGCCGAGACUCCCGGCCUGGCCUCUUUGGGCCCACGACGCCUGCCCCGCGGAGCGGACCCAUGGGCCUGAGGUCGGCACAGACGCAACCCAGGCUCCUCCAACCUCCCACAGUGCAGUGUCCUGAAUGGAGGACCCCAGCACCCAGAAGCAUCCGCUGAAGGACGUAAGUAGGACAAGGCCAACUGUGGCUGUUCCAGCAGAGGGACUGUGGAUGGUUUCCCUUCUCCGAUUUCUAAGCUAUCCGCAAACUUGUUUCAUUUAUAAUUGAAAAUAUAAUUUGCAUAACAGCAGUCUAAAUUCUACACAUGAAGGCAAACAUCUGUGGUUGACAGAAAUUACACUGGCCAGAAUCCCCAGUCACCAUGAGACCUGUCCAGAUGCAGUGAACCAGUUGCAGCUGACAUCACGCAGACCAUUCCCGAUCCCAGAGCAGCAUUUCAGGAUUCAUUCUAUUUCAUCAGGAGAUGUUUUAACAGGAACAAAACCGAAGGCAGGGUGGGGGUGGGGGGGGGGGGCGGGGAGCUGGAGGUUGGAAUCACACCAACAUUACAGAUUAAAAAAAAAAAUUACUUUUUUGGCUGGGUGCUGUGGCUCACACCUAUAAUCCCAGCACUUUGGGAGGCCAAGGCAGGUGGAUUACCUGAGGUCGGGAGUUCGAGACCAACCUGACCAACAUGGAGAAACCCCGUCUCUACUAAAAAUACAAAAUUAGCUGGGCAUGGUGGCACAUGCCUGUAAUCCCAGCUACUCGGGAGGCUGAGGCAGGAAAAUCGCUUGAACCCAGGAGGUGGAGGUUGCGCCAUUGCACUCCAGCCCGAGCAACAAGAGCAAAACUCCGUCUCAAAAAAAAAUUUUUUUAAGUAAGUGACACGGUGUCGCACUGUGGCCGAGGCUGGAGUGCAGUGGCUCAAUCAUGGCUCACUGUAACCUUCGACUCAGCUCAAGCAGUCCUCCUGCUUCAGCCUCCCGAGUAGUUGGGACUACAGGUGUGUGCCACCACACUUGGCUAAUUUUUAUAUUUUUUUGGUAGAGACAGGGUCUUCCUGUGUUGCCCAGGCUGGUCUUGAACUCCUGGGCUGAAGCAAUCUCCCUGCCUUGGCCUCCCAGAGGGUUGGAAUUGCAGAUGUGAGGUCAGCGGCCGGCAGAGCUGCUUCUGGCUUUCCAUUUCGGUCAGUGUGCUCUGACACAGCUCCUGAAAAACACGAAAUCUCUGACUGCGAUGACUCACCUGCUGCGUGCCCUGAGCUCCACGCACAGGUUCUGCGGUGUCAAGGCAGCGUGAGGACAGUACUGCGAGCUCCCCGCAGCAGGAUGGUGCCCUUGCUGUGCACCUACCAGUGGGCUGGGGGGGAAGCCAAGGCUGUGGCUGCUGAGUGCCGGAAUGCCUCGUCUCCAUGGAGACCAAACUCAAGGGCCUGACUGGCCCAGUCUACCUAGACCACGAGCCCUGUUAUGCCCCGCAGCCAGGCCAACCCAAAUUCUUUUAAAUAAAAGGCACAAGCCACAGCCACAUCA